rnacentral:rRNA from 1 species
GCUGGCGGCGUGCCUUAUACAUGCAAGUCGAACGAGAACGCGACUUCGGUCGUUAUUAAAGUGGCGAACGGGUGAGUAACACGUGGACAACCUGCCCUUGAGUGGGGGACAACUGGGGGAAACCCGAGCUAAUACCGCAUACGUUUCAUGGCCCUCGGGCUGUGAAGGAAAGACUGCCUAUCCUUGGAAGCAGUCGCUCUUGGAGGGGUCCGCGCUCGAUUAGCUAGUUGGUGGGGUAAUGGCUCACCAAGGCUGCAAUCGAUAGCCGGCCUGAGAGGGUGAUCGGCCACACUGGAACUGAGACACGGUCCAGACUCCUACGGGAGGCAGCAGUAGGGAAUAUUGCACAAUGGGCGAAAGCCUGAUGCAGCAACGCCGCGUGAAGGAUGAAGGCCUUAGGGUCGUAAACUUCUGUCAGAAGGGAAGAAGAGUUGUCGGUUAAGAGCUAGCAACUUUGACGGUACCUUCAGAGGAAGCACUGGCUAACUCCGUGCCAGCAGCCGCGGUAAUACGGAGAGUGCAAGCGUUAUUCGGAUUUAUUGGGCGUAAAGGGCGUGUAGGCGGCUUGAAAGGUCAAAGGUGAAAUCCCCGGGCUCAACCUGGGAACUGCCUUUGAAACCGUCUGGCUCGAGUUCGGGAGA